rnacentral:sRNA from 1 species
CCGAAUAUCGGCUUAAUCCGCACACAUGCCAAAAACCUUGUCCGGGGGUCCUGCUCGCAGGCCGGUCAUGGGGUAUGUGGAGGCCCAAC